rnacentral:rRNA from 1 species
UAGGGAAUAUUAGUAAUGGGCGAAAGCCUGAACUAGCAACACCGCGUGUGUGAUGAAGGCCUUCGGGUCGUAAAGCCCUGUCAGGUGGGAAGAAUGUCCUGGAAUUGAACAGGUUUCGGGAGUGACGGUACCACCAGAGGAAGCACCGGCUAACUCCGUGCCAGCAGCCGCGGUAAUACGGAGGGUGCAAGCGUUAUUCGGAAUUACUGGGCGUAAAGCGCGUGUAGGCGGUCCUGCAAGUCUGAUGUGAAAGCCCCGGGCUUAACCCGGGAAGUGCAUUGGAAACUGUUGGACUUGAGUACUGGAGAGGAUGGGGGAAUUCCCGGUGUAGAGGUGAAAUUCGUAGAGAUCGGGAGGAAUAUCAGUGGCGAAGGCGCCCAUCUGGACGGUAACUGACGCUGAGACGCGAAAGCGUGGGGAGCAAACA